UACGUAGGGACCAAGCGUUGUUCGGAUUUACUGGGCGUAAAGGGCGCGUAGGCGGCAAUUCAAGUCAGCUGUGAAAUCCCUCGGCUUAACUGAGGAACUGCACGAGAUACUGCAAGACUUGAGAUCGGGAGAGGGAAGCGGAAUUCCUGGUGUAGCGGUGAAAUGCGUAGAUAUCAGGAGGAACACCUGUGGUGUAGACAGCUUACUGGACCAUUUCUGACGCUGAGACACGAAAGCGUGGGUAGCAAACAGG
rnacentral:rRNA from 1 species